rnacentral:tRNA from 2 species
GGAGAAGUAGCUCAGCAGGUAGAGCAAAUGCACGAACGAUUCUGGCCUUAUUACCUUGGUUAAAAAAAUAAACAAGUGCCGUAGAAUAGUGUUACUUCGAUCAUCACGACGGGGACACGGGUUCGAGUCCCGUCUCUUCCA